rnacentral:misc_RNA from 1 species
UAAACUAGCCAGUAUACCCUUGCA